CAUGAGCAGCUUUGGACCCGUGUCUGUCGGUAGGUCCCCCGACUCCUCGUGCGGCCGACUACUGACGCCGUGUCCCGUCAUUCGUGUGGCUUAUGCUACUGUUGCCUUUCAAGUGCUUGCGUGCAGGUACCCGACCUACGGGAAGUGGUGCUUCGUACACGUUUGCCUCGCGGCGGACGCCUUCGGGUGUCCCGCUGCGGCCAAAUGGCGCUUGCGGCGUUGCCUCGUGGUGCUGGCACGUUUACGUGCCUGGUGCUAUCAAGGCAGCCUCGCUCCCGCUGUUGGUUUCGGAUGUCGCUCACGAUAAAGGCUCAUGGCCCUUUUGGUUGCCUAGACCCGACCCUCGAGAAGCUCUCUGGAUCAGAAAGCAGCGUAGAUAAAGGUGUGUUGCCUCUACCUCUUCCACUUUUAGUGGUAGGAUACGCAGCAUGCUGGGCCGAUGCUAGUAGGGGAAGGAGAGCUUUUGCCCGCUCAAUUGCGACAACCGGCUCGGCUGUUGUCUGCCCGUACGGGCGGACAACUGCCGACGCUGGACGUCAAAGAGGACGUGCU
rnacentral:misc_RNA from 1 species